UACGUAGGUGGCGAGCGUUGUCCGGAUUUACUGGGCGUAAAGGGAGCGUAGGCGGAUUUUUAAGUGAGAUGUGAAAUACUCGGGCUCAACUUGAGUGCUGCAUUUCAAACUGGAAGUCUAGAGUGCAGGAGAGGAGAAUGGAAUUCCUAGUGUAGCGGUGAAAUGCGUAGAGAUUAGGAAGAACACCAGUGGCGAAGGCGAUCCUCUGGACUGUAACUGACGCUGAGGCUCGAAAGCGUGGGGAGCAAACAGG
rnacentral:rRNA from 1 species